rnacentral:rRNA from 1 species
UAAAAAUUUAUUUAUUUUAGGUAGUAACAGAUUUCUUGAAACCUAAAGAAUUUGGCGGUAUUUUAAAUAAUUAGAGGAACCUGUUAUAUAAAUGAUAAUCCACAACAUAUCUUACCUUAAUUAAGUUUGUAUACCGUUGUUUUUAGAUUAUGUUUAUAAAUUAUGAUCAAAAUUAAUUAAUUUUUAUAAAUCAAAUCAAGGUGCAGCAUAUUUAGGUUUUAAUGGGUUACAAUAUAUUUAUAUAUAUACGAAUAAAUUAUGAAAAUAUUUUGGAAGGUGGAUUUAAAAGUAAUUUAAAAUUAAAAUGUUUAAAUGAAUAAAAAUUUAAAAUAUGC